CACGUAGGGGGCGAGCGUUGUUCGGAAUUACUGGGCGUAAAGGGCAUGUAGGCGGCUCUGUAAGUCCGGCGUGGAAGCCCACGGCUCAACCGUGGGAUUGCGCUGGAAACUGCGGGGCUCGAAUCAUGGAGAGGGAGCUAGAAUUCCAGGUGUAGGGGUGAAAUCUGUAGAGAUCUGGAAGAAUACCAGUGGCGAAGGCGAGCUCCUGGCCAAUGAUUGACGCUGAGGUGCGAAAGUGUGGGGAU
rnacentral:rRNA from 1 species